UUUUCAGUAGAAGUAUGUCUCAUGCAAUAUUUGAGAGACACUUCUGCUAAAA
rnacentral:pre_miRNA from 1 species